rnacentral:miRNA from 1 species
UGUACUCUGGGACUCGGGUGUCA